GACGAACGCUGGCGGCGUGCUUAACACAUGCAAGUCGAACGGAAAGGCCCUGCUUUUGUGGGGUGCUCGAGUGGCGAACGGGUGAGUAACACGUGAGUAACCUGCCCUUGACUUUGGGAUAACUUCAGGAAACUGGGGCUAAUACCGGAUAGGAGCUCCUGCUGCAUGGUGGGGGUUGGAAAGUUUCGGCGGUUGGGGAUGGACUCGCGGCUUAUCAGCUUGUUGGUGGGGUAGUGGCUUACCAAGGCUUUGACGGGUAGCCGGCCUGAGAGGGUGACCGGCCACAUGGGGACUGAGAGACGCCGCAGUCGCGAACGGGAGGCAGCAGUGGGGAGUAUUGCACAAUGGGCGGAAGUGUGAGACAGCAGCGCCGCGUGCGGGAUAACGUCCUUCGGGUUAUGAACAGCUUUCUCCUGAGACGAAGCGUGCGUGACGGUAAUGGAUAAAGAAGCACCGGCUAACUACGUG
rnacentral:rRNA from 1 species